rnacentral:rRNA from 1 species
GAUCUCUUAAAGCUGUUCUCAGUUCGGACNGCAGUCUGCAACUCGACUGCACGAAGCUGGAAUCGCUAGUAAUCGCGGAUCAGCACGCCGCGGUGAAUACGUUCCCGGGCCUUGUACACAUCGCCCGUCACACCAUGGAAGUCUGCAAUGCCCGAAGCCGGUGGCCUAACCACUUAUGUGGAAGGAGCCGUCUAAGGCAGGGCAGAUGACUGGGGUGAAGUCGUAACAAGGUAUC